rnacentral:rRNA from 1 species
AAACUUAAGAGUUUGAUCCUGGCUCAGAUUGAACGCUGGCGGCAUGCUUUACACAUGCAAGUCGAACGGCAGCACGGGUGCUUGCAUCUGGUGGCGAGUGGCGGACGGGUGAGUAAUACAUCGGAACGUGUCCUAAAGUGGGGGAUAACGCAUCGAAAGAUGUGCUAAUACCGCAUAAUCUCUAAGGAGAAAAGUAGGGGAUCGUAAGACCUUAUGCUUUUGGAGCGGCCGAUGUCUGAUUAGCUAGUUGGUGAGGUAAAGGCUCACCAAGGCGACGAUCAGUAGUUGGUCUGAGAGGACGACCAGCCACACUGGGACUGAGACACGGCCCAGACUCCUACGGGAGGCAGCAGUGGGGAAUUUUGGACAAUGGGCGCAAGCCUGAUCCAGCAAUGCCGCGUGAGUGAAGAAGGCCUUCGGGUUGU